UACGUAGGGGGGCAAGCGUUGUCCGGAUUUAUUGGGCGUAAAGAGCGUGUAGGCGGCCAUGUAGGUCCGUUGUGAAAACUCGAGGCUCAACCUCGAGACGCCGAUGGAAACCAUGUGGCUAGAGUCCGGAAGAGGAGAGUGGAAUUCCUGGUGUAGCGGUGAAAUGCGCAGAUAUCUUGAGGAACACCGGUGGCGAAGGCGGGUCUCUGGGCCGAUACUGACGCUGAGGAGCGAAAGCGUGGGGGAGCGAACAGG
rnacentral:rRNA from 1 species